AUGUGGAGUGGGGAAGCAUCCUGCUAUACUGGCAAGACAUCAACCGGAGUCUGCAGGGGAGUGAACAGAAAGAAUGGCCUCUUAUCCACGUCUGGAGAGAAAUCACUCCCAGGGUUUGAGGUCUGCUGCACUCCACGGGGAAAAGCCCUGAUUGGUAGGUUCACCACCGCAGGCUUAGCGCAAGACGUUGCUGCCUCUCUCCAGAUCAGGAAAACUACAGGAAACUGCUGCCCAAGGUCACAGCUGCACAUGCCGUCCUGGGGCACCCAGGCUGAUAACUAGGAAGAGAAACUUUGCUGUGAAACUUCACAUCUGCUAAAGCCGGAACUUUCAAAUCUUGUGCAAGGUCAUACAUAUUAUUGUCAGAAUGUAUUUCUUAUCAAGACCCACGAAAGAAAUGGGGUCUGGAACACGUCGUUACCAGGCUUCCAGUCCUGGGAUAUAGGGAAAAGCAUUAAAAGGAGUGAGGAUGAAUGCGGGUUGCCAAAAAGUAAUAUCCCAAAGAAGUAUGGGACAUUAUUCUCAUUUUACAGAUGCAAAGACUGAGGCAUGGAAGUCAGUAAAUUGUCCAGAGUCUCAUAGUAUGAGAUUCAAAACCAGGUCUAUCUGAUUUCAGAACUAGAGCUUUUUAGCAAUUAUGCUGGGAAGCAUUUAUCAC
rnacentral:lncRNA from 1 species